rnacentral:rRNA from 4 species
GAGUUUGAUCGUGGCUCAGAUUGAACGCUGGCGGCAUGCCUUACACAUGCAAGUCGAACGGCAGCACGGGAGCUUGCUCCUGGUGGCGAGUGGCGAACGGGUGAGUAAUGCAUCGGAACGUAUCCUGGAGUGGGGGAUAACGUAGCGAAAGUUACGCUAAUACCGCAUAUUCUGUGAGCAGGAAAGCGGGGGACCUUCGGGCCUCGCGCUCUUGGAGCGGCCGAUGUCGGAUUAGCUAGUUGGUGAGGUAAAGGCUCACCAAGGCGACGAUCCGUAGCAGGUCUGAGAGGAUGAUCUGCCACACUGGAACUGAGACACGGUCCAGACUCCUACGGGAGGCAGCAGUGGGAAUUUUGGACAAUGGGGCAACCCUGAUCCAGCCAUGCCGCGUGAGUGAAGAAGGCC